CAAGCGUUGUUCGGAUUUACUGGGCGUAAAGGGCGCGUAGGCGGCACCGCAAGUCGACUGUGAAAUCUCCGGGCUUAACCCGGAAAGGUCAGCCGAUACUGCGGGGCUAGAGUGCAGAAGGGGCAACUGGAAUUCUCGGUGUAGCGGUGAAAUGCGUAGAUAUCGAGAGGAACACCUGCGGCGAAGGCGGGUUGCUGGGCUGACACUGACGCUGAUGCGCGAAAGCUAGGGGAGCGAACGGG
rnacentral:rRNA from 1 species